ensembl:lncRNA
ACACUUACUAACAGCUUCGUUUAUUAUUUAGUUGAUGAUUCCAUUUGUAUAAUCAUACAAUGAUUCUUUUAAACAACACUGUUAUACCUGCAGUUGGUCGCAUUGUACUCUCUCUCUUCUUUCUCUAGUAGCAAAGUGGGGUUUUUUCCACACUCAAUUUUUUAAUAGAACAUUUUCAAAUAUCAAGAAGUGUGAUUAACUAAAAGUAAAGAACGGACCAAACUCCAUGAGAAAUGAUUGCACUUUCAGUUAAAGGGCGAAUGCUGUUCCGGCGAGUCAUGUCCACUCGGGAGGAGACACAGCGGUCUUGUGGGAACCUGGGGCAGGUGAGUGUUGGUGGGUCAAAGCGACUCGCUGAGGCCUGUUCGGCAGCUUGGAAGUUGAGGUUUAAUACUGGCCCAUCAUUGCCUUUUCUAGUCAGAAUGGCUUCCUCCAGUCAAAGUGGAGGCCGUGCCCUCAGGCUGUGACCAACGGUGCUGUCCUGGGGCAAAUGUCUUCCAGUCAGUUCCUCAGGGGGUCUUAAUGCUCCUUCCUGCUCCAUAAUGGCCGUAUUUUUUACUUGAAAGUAGAUGGGACCCAGCCACAGGGGUUGUACAGUGUGUGUGUGUAGUUUGUGUACAUAAUGUGUGUCUGUACUGUGUAUAUAUAGUGUGUGUAUACUCUGUGUGGAGUGUGUAGCAUGUGUGUAGAUAACUGUGUGCACCAUGUGUGUGUACGCUGUGUAUAUUGUGUAGAAAGUGUACAUGCUGUAGUGUGUACAUCUGGCUGUGUGUAGCGUGUGUGCAUAUAGUCUGUGUGUAUAAUGUGUGUGCCUACAGUUGUGCCUGUGUAGUGUGUGUAUAGACUGUGUAGAGCAUGUACAGUGUAUCUGUGGUGUGUAUGUUGUAGUGUGUGUAGUAUGUGUGUACUCUGCAUAGGGUGUGUACAGUGUGUUUAUUGUGUGUAUACUCUAUGUAAGGUGUGUACAGUGUAUGUAGUAUGUGCACAUGUGUAUAGUGUGUAGUGUGUAUACUCUGUAGAGCAUGUAGAUUGUGUGUAGUAUGUUAUAUGUACAGUGUGUGUAGUGUGUCUAUGCUAUGUAGUAUGUUGAGUAAUUUGUGUAGUAUGUGUCUACUGUGUAGUGUGUAUGUUGUAUGUAUAGUGGGUGUUGUGUAUACAGUGUGUGCCUAUACCAUGUAGUGUGUGUGUAGUGUGUGUGUGUGUGUAUAUACUGUGUAGAAGUGUAUGUCUAUGUAGUAUGUUGUGUAUUUAUUGUGUGUAGUAUGCGUCUAUACUGUGUAGUGUGUGUUGUAUGCAUAGUGGGUGUUGUGUAUACAGUGCCUAUACCAUGUAGUGUGUAUGUUGUGUGUAGCGUGUCUAUAUUGUGUAGUGUGUAGUAUGCGUGUGCAUGUGUAUAUACUGUGCAGAGUGUGUAGGGUGUGUGGAGGGUGCAGGGGACACUGAAGGGGAAGGAAGGGGCUGAGGAGGAGGGGACAGGACAGGAGAAGCAGAGGAAGAUGAAGCAAGUGAACAAGAGGUAGAGGACCUGGCGGAGUGGAGGGGGAGGGGAGAAGGACAGUGUGAGCCUCUUUUAUGUUAGUAACACAGGAGGGACAAAGAAUGCUGCCCCUGAUGCCACUCCCCACCCCUUCCCUGGCCCAAGGCAGCAGUAGCCCCAGGUGAGGGGUUCUCCUAGUUGGCAGCAGCGUGGACUUGGGUUUCCGUGAGACCUGAACAAAGACAGAGGAAUGGGUAGCAGAACCAGCUCUCCCCAAGGCCCCGCUCCUUUGGCUGGGGUCCCCUGGGCUGCUGCCUGCACCCGCUCCUCUGGCUCUGUAACUGAGGGGCCCUCUGGGAGCCUGCCUUCCAGAGUGUGACCUCUCUAAAGCCUUCUGUGGAAAGAUGCAGCGUGAGGCCAACCUGCACUUGCAGCCUAACCACAGGCUCACUCCCAGGCUGGUGCUGCAGACCUACGGUCCCAAAGGGCACUCGAGCUGUGGGUUAGAGCACGCUGUGUGGCCCUUCCAGCACACCGCACAAACCAGUGCCAAGGAGGCAAGGGAGCAGCGGGGAGAGCUGCCCCCACCCCCAGGCAAUACUGAAAGCAGUGCUGAGGAUGGAGAGGGGUUAAAAUCCUGUGCUCUGGAGUCUGAUAGCCUGAAUCCAUAUGGUGGCUCCGGUAAGUGAGAAACCAGGCGGCGGGGGGUGGGGGCAAGUUGCCUAAUCGCUCUUUGCCUCAGUUUCCCUAUCACUGAAAUGGAGCCAAGAAUAGCACUUGCAGGGUGGGGGGUGCAGGGUGGUGGUGUGAGACCUCAGGGAGAUGUAAAGUGCUUAGAGCAGCAUCUGGCACACAGUAAGCACUCAAUAAAUGAGCUGUCAUUAUUACUCUUCCAGAAAAUAAUCAGUAGGGCUCAGCAGCUGGCCUUACAGAUUCUGCAUCUCCUGCCUGACUUUUCUCUGGUGUUUCCAAAAGAAGGGCCCUGGUCAAAGGCAGGGUGGCUGAAAGUGUGUGUUCAGGCUUGGAGGGUUAUGGGGACACUUAAGGCCUUUGCUGGUCCACAGGGCCCUGCGGCCAUUAUGCCGGUGCCAACGCCGGGGGAGUGGGACAGAAACCAUGGGCCAGCCCUUACCUGUGGUGAGGGGCUCCCCUGUACAGAAUCUGCUACUUCUGGCAACUAGAUGGGGGCCCAAAUGGUGGCAUCCCCAUGUAGAGAAAUGAACUGCAAAACUAGCCACACAACUAAGCCAAUUUGGCAAAGGGAGAACAGACAGAAGUGUUUUGUGCUGCGCAGUGACUUCAGAACACUGAAACACUGACACGGAGGUCUUGAUCCCUCUUGACCAGAGGAGACAUCAGCCCGGCCUUAACCGUGCGCUCCAAGUGGUGUGGACACUAAAGAGAACGCAGCUGUGCGUGUGCGAUGAAUACUGCUGGUCUGAAGAAGCUCGCCCUGGAGGCACAGAAGUCUUCUGAAACAAGAAAGUACACUUCUUUGCUCUAACAGGGACUGCUAACUAGACUCCGGGCGAGACAGCCCUGCAGGGGCAUCUGACGGGUAGCAUUUUGUCGUCUCUUAAAAACCAUAUUGGAGGAGUGGGCAGAGUUCUUCCAGAGAGAGAUUUAAUUCCAGUCUUGUCUUAAAGUGGAGGGAGGACCGAAAAAAUCCAGGAGGCCUGCUGGGGCCCAUAAGGGAGGCUGAGUUCACCUUUCCAGCAAUCGGAUGGCCUGGGGGAAAACCGUGAGACUACACAGGGGCCACCUUCCCGACUUUGUUCUUGUUCUCUGAGAGCAGAGCUCAGGCUCCCAGCGUGAGAUGCCUCCCCAGGAACGCGUGAGGCUGAGGCCUGGGGCCGCUGUAACAACUUGCUGGCCUCCUCUCUGUCUCCAGCUGUAAGUAAUGCAGGAACCCAGCAUAGGUGCACCAACCUGAUGGCCCUUUCAUGAGAAGCAUGGCAGAACUCUUGAGCAUUCUAAUGAACCUCUUGGGGAAAAAAAAAACGAACAAAACAAAUUAACGGCAAAACAAGCCCCAAAGUAACCCCCUAAAGAGAAACUGGUGAAGCCCUAGCUAGCAAGGCUAGCUGGUCAUGCAGAUGAGAACAUGAUACCAAAGAAAUUCUGCAGGGAUCAAGGAUCACCUUCUCCCUGGCUAUGAUGUUGCCUGUGGAGGUUUCAAUGUUCCAUUAAAAAUAUUAAAAAUCCGCACACCAACCCAGACGGUCCCCUCCUCUCUUCCUCCUGUGGCGGCCGCUCUCUGGAUCGUGGCGCUAGAUGUCUUUACUGUCCCCAUAACCAUUGUACGGAAUGCUCAGGGUCUGCUCCUCGCAGGUCUUCCUGAGGUCCCGGCUGAGCUCUGACCAGUCAAGUCCAUAGGGCUUGAUCUCGCUGUAGCGGCAGCCCAGGUACUUGAGGGAGCUGCGUCUCAAGCUUAUCUUGGGUUCCUGAAGGAGUCCAUUGCACCAACUGCUGAGAUCCCCAAGCUGAGACAGGAUGAGGCCAGCUUUCCUAAGGAUCAAGCACAGAGGAUGCUUAGUUAGGAAGAAGAGAAGGCAGGAAGAGCAAAUGGGGAGGGACUUUCAACUUCGAGAGGGCAGAGCCCAGUCUGUUUUGCUUACUGUUCCACGGUUGGCACUUAGAACAGGGGGGCCCUCCAUAAAUAUUUGUUAAGCAAAUGAAGGGAUGAGAUAAUUAAUUCAUAAGAUGGUUGAGCAAAGUGGGACAUCAAAAUGAAACAGAGAAACAAAGUGCAAUAAGGACAAAUAAAGAAGAGAAAUGGAAGUUCCCUGGUGGCCUAGAGGUUAAGGAUGCAGCUCACAGCGGUGGCUCGGGUUCAGUCCCUGGCUGGGAAACUUCUGCAAGCCACAGGUAAGGCCAAAAAAAAAAAAAGUUAAAAUAGAAGAGAAAAUGGUUAAUACUUUAGUGGGAAUUGAUACCAUUUUAAAAUCAUAGAGUUGUCAGUUUCAAAAGACAAAUCAAUUUACUUUUAAGCCAGUAAUUUAUCACCAUUAAAUGACAAAUAAUACAUUUGAAUGGACAUUUCCCUUUUCAAGACUAUUUCUGAACUGAAAUAGAAGCAGCCGAUAUAUUGUACUUCGGGUGAUAUCAGAUGUAACUAAUUAUGCCUGUAUGAAGGUAAUUAUAGUGUAAUAAAGGCAGGAACAAUAAUGGCCUCAGUGCCCACUGCCAUAGGGUCAUUCUUUGGGAGAACGUAGUUCUCAGUGGCACACAUCACCUAAUUACCCUGCAGGGGCGCUCCUGCUUCUACUUGGUUCUGCAACGUCCCGUGGAAAGUCGGGAGGCCAGUACGGUUGAGCCCCAUCCAAAGAGUGGGAAGGGGAGCUGUCAAGGACACCUGAGCUGCUGCAGACACUUGAGAGAGAAAGGGACAGAGGCAGGCAGGGUUCACACACACUGGAAAGGAGUGAGCCCACUGGGCCAAGAAUAGAGUAUGAGACCCUGCAGAUGGCUUGGGGAAGGGGGUUGUCACCACGAUCUAGCUCCACUGCUGCAUGGCUCCUCCCUGGCCACUUGCAGUGUUAGAGAUGGAACCACUCAAUAGCCAGUUCUCUUUUCAGGACUGUAGAACCCACACACAAGGUUAUAUAGCUUAGCUCUACUCAUGAUAAGGAGGCUCCGUCUGGCUUUGUCAGACACUCACAUGUCACAUCUUCCUCUCAACAGUCAAGUAUCUAGACCUAAGGCUCUUAGUUCCCCAGAAACUGCUUGUGUAAACAGCUGUGCCAUCCUUGCCAUUUAUUUUGGGCUGCCAGGUAUCAGUAACUUGUGGAUGUUCCUUG